ACCUUUGUAGUGUAAAUAGCACAAGAAAUUUUCAAUUUCUAAGUAUAAUAUUAUA
rnacentral:tRNA from 1 species